CACCAACACCAGCCCACCGGAAAAGGAAAACAAAUUCCAUCUCACGCUGCAUCUUAUCACCUUCCUUGCCCCUCCGCAACCGCAAGGGCCGCCCUCCUCCGUCCCGCGCCGCUUCCAAAACUCCAAAUCGGAAUCUCCUCCCCCCCUCCCAGCGACAGCCCGGCACACGCGCACCCGGCCGUGAUCCGCCACCUUCAGCUGCGCGCGCCAGCCGUCAUGCAAGGAACUUUUUAGCUUCCUAUGGAACUGUAAUCGAAGCUUGAGAUUUGAUGCACUGGAAUGUUGUUAACAAGGUUCAGAGCUACUUGAACUGUGGUAUCCAUUCUACAUCACAGAUUUCUUUCCUUGCCAAGAUGGGAGUUUACCUCAGUACUCCAAAGACCGAUAAGCUAUCCGAAGACGGGGAAAAUGAUAAACUCAAAUUUGGUCUUUCAUCUAUGCAAGGAUGGCGUGCAAGCAUGGAAGAUGCUGUGAGUUUUCCACUUCAAGGCUAUUCUAAUUGUUUGAUAUCACUUAACAACACUGAACAUUGAGUUUUGUUUCUAGAACACAUACCUUGAUGCGUGUUGUUGUGUGUUAGAAGAAAAACGUCAAUAUAAGGCUUAUAAAGUACAAACAACCAUUGGUGGGAACGGACAAACGAAAACAAAGACAAAAUAAAGAGGAAACUAAAACAACACUGAGCUCAUGAAAGUGGUUUUUCUACUCCCACGGACAUUGCACCCAUGAUCGAAAACAUAGCAAAUAAAAUAAAUAAAAUUCUGAAACUUUGUGGCUUCGAUCAUGACCAAAUAUUUUAGGUGCUUGCAAAAAUUGGUGGCCAAAUGAAAUCCAAGGAGCUCUGUAAAAGAAAAACAAAAUUUGUGCUCAAACACAUGUCCACUGUUUCAGCGCAAUUUGUAUUUCAUUUGAUGUUAUUUGGCCACCAAACUUUGCAACCACCUAAAACAUUUGUUCAUAAUCGAAGCCACGAGAUUUCAGAUUUUUUUGGUAGUUGUUUUGAUUUUACUGUUCAUCAUGGGGUGCAAUCAUUGUUGAGGAAAUCGUUAACUGGUAGCUGCUCGGUUGGCUAGCGAGUAGGGGAUUAAUAGGCUAAUCGGCAAGUUAAUCGGCCAUUUAAUCAAUUAAUCGGACGAUUUAUCAGUUUAUCGGCUACUCGGUGACCCUAUGAGUAGGGAUUAAUCGGCAAGUUAACUGGUUAAUCGGAUGAAUUCUUGAACAGGGGGUGCAAUGAACUUGGGUGUAGCUACUACUUUUCCUUGAGCUCAUUUCUUAAUAGAAACCUUGUUGUCAUGACCCAACUUUCUUAUCAUGAUCGUACUUACUACCUGAAAAAUAAUGCUGAUACUUUGAAGCUGGUGGGGCCGCACAUUCUAGUUUUGACUUUGACUAGUGCUUCGAUGCUCUCCCAGCUAGUGUAAAGCCAGCACUGUAGAACACAUUAAACUAAAUGCUUGAUUCACAACCACCCCUUCCUGUGACAUAGUGUUGCUACACGAUUUGUCCAAUUUAGUUCCUGAGAGCUGUACAAAACAUUAAACUGAAUGUCUGAUUCGCAACCACUAACUGCUCCUCCAGUUACUUUACGUGGCUUCGGGAUUUGUCCAAUCUAGGUCCCUAGAGAGCAUAAAAGCUCUAUUAUUUAUCUUCCACGGCAACUUGGUGUGGACUUUGUGGGCACAUGAAACAUUUCAUGUGUAAAUUAUUUUCACCAUAAAAGAGACGCCCAUUCCCAAUAUCCAAAAUUGUUCAUUUAAUGAAUUGACAAAGAAUAGGUAU